rnacentral:rRNA from 2 species
UGUUGACCUCGGAUCAGGUAGGAAUACCCGCUGAACUUAAGCAUAUCAA